rnacentral:rRNA from 1 species
AAUGAACGUUGGCGGCAUGGAUUAGGCAUGCAAGUCGCGCGAUAAGAUUCCUUCGGGAAUCCGAAAGCGGCGAAAGGGAGAGUAACGCGUAGAUGAUCUACCCCGAGGACUGGGAUAGCGGCGGGAAACUGCCGGUAAUACCAGAUGAUGUCUCCGGACCAAAGGUGUGAUUCCGCCUUGGGAUGAAUCCGCGUCCUAUUAGCUAGUUGGUGAGGUAACGGCUCACCAAGGCGAAGAUGGGUACCGGGUGUGAGAGCAUGACCCGGCUCACUGGGACUGAGACACUGCCCAGACACCUACGGGUGGCUGCAGUCGAGAAUCUUCGGCAAUGGGCGAAAGCCUGACCGAGCAAUGCCGCGUGCGGGAUGAA